GUCAACAGUCAGCUCAUUCCCAUAAGAGAGUGGGAUCAACGAAAUACUUGAAAGCGACGUUCCACGUGUUCAGCGAAACAAGCGCAAAGCGAGGAUCGGCGGAGUGAAGAAAACGCCUGCGCAGCACAUGAAUUUUUCAGCCUUCAUCCAUAAUAUAAGGAGUGGUUCCCAUUUGGAGACUGUCUAAUCCCGGUGUCGCCGCCGAUCUCCAUGCACUUGGGAUGGGUAAACAGAGCGGAGUAAGAAUCGGUUCCAUCCAAACGUCUUCUGUCCAAGAAUGAACAAAGAAUUGAGAAUUUUACUUGGCGAACGCAGGUUGAAUGUUAAUGGGCAGAAUUGAGGAAGUCUCCAGAUCCCCGAUGUAAUUAUUCUACAUUCACAUUAAUUGUUCCAAGCAGAUGACAUUAAUGACUUUGAGAUAUGAAGAGCGCCAAGGAAGGCGCCGGAGAUCAGCGCCAUGAAGGAGUCAGGUCAUUUCUAUAAUCAUCCUUUUGACAUCUCAAAUGCUUAAUGUAAUGAGAUUAACACUUCGUAGCUUUCCAGGACUAAUUACGCUUGUACUUACAGAUCUGAAUGGAAAUCGUCACAAACACUUUUCCCAUUCAAUUCAAUUUGAUUCACGUUUUAUGCAACUCACACAAAGCUGUUUAAAUCCUUAAAUGUUCUGGCACCGGGGCCCUAAAGUUCCCUAGG